AGCGAACGCUGGCGGCAGGCCUAACACAUGCAAGUCGAACGGACCUUUCGGGGUUAGUGGCGGACGGGUGAGUAACACGUGGGAACGUGCCUUUUGGUUCGGAACAACUUGGGGAAACUUAAGCUAAUACCGGAUGUGCCCUUAGGGGGAAAGAUUUAUCGCCAUUAGAGCGGCCCGCGUCUGAUUAGCUAGUUGGUGGGGUAAAGGCCUACCAAGGCGACGAUCAGUAGCUGGUCUGAGAGGAUGAUCAGCCACAUUGGGACUGAGACACGGCCCAAACUCCUACGGGAGGCAGCAGUGGGGAAUCUUGCGCAAUGGGCGAAAGCCUGACGCAGCCAUGCCGCGUGAAUGAUGAAGGUCUUAGGAUUGUAAAAUUCUUUCACCGGGGACGAUAAUGACGGUACCCGGAGAAGAAGCCCCGGCUAACUUCGUGCCAGCCGCCGCGGUAA
rnacentral:rRNA from 1 species